rnacentral:miRNA from 1 species
GGCUGGGGGUGUAGCUCAGCGGUAGAGCACCUUGGGUUCAAUCCCCAGUAC